ACGCUCGACACCUACGGAGGCAGCAGUCGGGAAUAUUGCGCAAUGGAGGAAACUCUGACGCAGUGACGCCGCGUGCAGGAAGAAGGUUUUCGGAUUGUAAACUGCUUUAGACAGGGAAGAAAAAAAGACAGUACCUGUAGAAUAAGCUCCGGCUAACUACGUGACAGCAGCCGCGGUAAUCUGAGCGGGCUGGCAAGGC
rnacentral:rRNA from 1 species